GACGAAGGGGGCUAGCGUUGUUCGGAAUUACUGGGCGUAAAGCGCGUGUAGGCGGUUGCCCAAGUCGGGUGUGAAAGCCUUGAGCUCAACUCAAGAAAUGCACUCGGUACUGGGUGACUAGAGGACCGGAGAGGAUAGUGGAAUUCCCAGUGUAGUGGUGAAAUACGUAGAUAUUGGGAGGAACACCAGUGGCGAAGGCGGCUCACUGGACCGGUACUGACGCUGAUGCGCGAAAGCGUGGGGAGCAAACGGG
rnacentral:rRNA from 1 species